UGAAAGCAGAUACUGUUUCUUGUGAUGAC
rnacentral:piRNA from 1 species